UACAGAGGGGGCAAGCGUUGUUCGGAAUUACUGGGCGUAAAGGGCUCGUAGGUGGCCAACUAAGUCGGACGUGAAAUCCCUCAGCUUAACUGGGGAACUGCGUCCGAUACUGGAUGGCUUGAGUUUGGGAGAGGGAUGCGGAAUUCCAGGUGUAGCGGUGAAAUGCGUAGAUAUCUGGAGGAACACCGGUGGCGAAGGCGGCAUCCUGGACCGACACUGACGCUGAGGCGCGAAAGCUAGGGGAGCAAACGGG
rnacentral:rRNA from 1 species